rnacentral:lncRNA from 1 species
CCCCGUGGCUUUGGGGGCUGUGAGCUGGGCUGGCAGCGUGGGCCGGGUGUGAGCCGUGCUGGACACAGCCUGCAGCUCACAGGGAACCCUCUGCUCCUGCACGUCCCCACUUUUUGGUGAGGCUCCUGCAGGUGGCAGGUGCUGCAGAGCCCAGCGCUGUGCUGUGGGCGGCCCAGAGAGCCACUCUGCUCAUCCUGAAGUUGUGUUUCUUUCUUUAUUUUUUUUUAUUCAAGGACUGCUGCAGCUCUAUCACUUUGGAUUUGUCAUUUUUUAAUGGCCUAUAAACUAACGACAAGUCGACAAUUCCUUGAUAUGCUCCUUGUUUGCAUUGCCUAUACCACGUCCUCCACAAAUGCAGCAGCUCUCCCAGCACCAGACCUAGUCAAAGCUGUUGUGUUCCUCAGGCCCAGGAACCUGCCCCAGCUGCAGCACGUUGGAGCAGGCUGAGCACGGAGAGAUGGGGCAGAGCUGCAAGGAGACCUCACUGCAAACAGAGUACCCCAGGUUUGAUUUUGCAUGGAGUCUUGAGCAGGACAGAGCUGAAGCUGUUUGCUCUGUGCUUGGUGGUGCCCAGUCUGCAGGAGCAGCUUCAAAGCUGAUUAAUUCGCAAAACAAGAAAUCAAGCAAACCAUCAUGCAUUUAGUGCACUUCUACCUAAUGUAGGACCUGAUCCAUUGGAAGAAGGAUUAUUUCCUUUCCUGCUGAG